AGCGUAUAUUAAAGUUGUUGCAGUUAAAAAGCUCGUAGUUGGAUUUCGGAAGGUCCUUAGCAGUCCGCCCCUUCGGGGAGCGGGUUGCUGGCCUCCUAUGUUCCUAACGGUCCUCAUCCGCGAGGGUGGGGAAUCAACCGCUAGGAUCGUUUACUUUGAGGAAAUUAGAGUGUUCAAAGCAGGCGUAACUCGCCUCCGAAUACGUUAGCAUGGGAUAAUGGAAUACGACUUCGGUCUUGUUUCGUUGGUUUCGCUUGGCUGAAGUAAUGAUUGAUAGGGACAGUUGGGGGCAUUAGUAUUUAGUUGUCAGAGGUGAAAUUCUAGGAUUUACUAAAGACUGACCAAUGCGAAAGCAUUUGCCAAGGAUGUUUUCAUUAAUCAAGAACGAAAGUAGGGGGAUCGAAGACGAUCAGAUACCGUCGUAGUCUCUACCGUAAACUAUGCCGACCAGGGAUCCGGAGAGUUUGCAUGGAUGACUCCCCGGGCACCUUGUGAGAAAUCAUAAGUGUUUGGGUUUUGGGGGGAGUAUGGUCGCAAGGCUGAAACUUAAAGGAAUUGACGGAAGGGCACCACCAGGAGUGGAACCUGCGGCUUAAUUUGACUCAACACGGGGAAACUUACGAGGUCAGGACACUGUGAGGAUUGACAGAUUGAAAGCUCUUUCUUGAUUCAGUGGGUGGUGGUGCAUGGCCGUUCUUAGUUGGUGGAGUGAUUUGUCUGGUUAAUUCCGUUAACGAACGAGACCUUAACCU
rnacentral:rRNA from 1 species